rnacentral:misc_RNA from 1 species
AAAGUCGUAACAAGGUCUCCGUUGGUGAACCAGCGGAGGGAUCAUUAACGAGUUUACAAACUCCCAAACCCUAUGUGAACCUUACCAUAUCGUUGCUUCGGCGGGCUCUCAAGCCCCGGCGGCCCGCCAGAGGACCCCCAAACUCUUGUUUUAUACAGCAUCUUCUGAGUAACACGAUUAAAUAAAUCAAAACUUUCAACAACGGAUCUCUUGGUUCUG